AGCAGCAGCCGCGGUAAUACGUAGGUGGCAAGCGUUGUCCGGAAUUAUUGGGCGUAAAGCGCGCGCAGGCGGAUCAGUCAGUCUGUCUUAAAAGUUCGGGGCUUAACCCCGUGAUGGGAUGGAAACUGCCAAUCUAGAGUAUCGGAGAGGAAAGUGGAAUUCCUAGUGUAGCGGUGAAAUGCGUAGAUAUUAGGAAGAACACCAGUGGCGAAGGCGACUUUCUGGACGAAAACUGACGCUGAGGCGCGAAAGCCAGGGGAGCGAACGGGAUUAGAUACCCCUGUAGUCCCUGUCUCUUAUACC
rnacentral:rRNA from 1 species